AGGACAUGUGCCCGAAAGAUAGGGCUCACUUUGAUAGAGUGAAUUAUAGAGGUUCAAACCCUCUCAUUUCCUUAA
rnacentral:tRNA from 1 species